AUGUCAGCGGAACAGGCUGGGUUAAGGCUUCACCCCGGAAUUAUUGCAUCUGUGAUCCUGGUGUCAAUGGCGGCCAUCGCUGCAGCCAUAUUGAUCGUGCGAAAAUACUGCUUCCCAGUUAACGAGGCCACAUACAGAUACUCGUUGCUGAGGCGGAUGGAGGAUCAGGGUUCAGCAGGGACGGAGGGGGAUGGCGACAGGGGUCCCUGCACGGUGGGAGAGGAGUCAGACGAGGUCAGUGCUUUUCUGAUUGUAGCUUUCACUGUCAUCUGUUGCACAUUACAAGUCAGCUCGGUUGUAACCUUCCUCAUCACUUCACAUCACAUGUCAUUUGUAACUUCUUUUAUUCUGGUGACAGGAGAUGCUGGAAUAAAAACCUCAGGCCGUGCUGCUGCUGGACCGGAGGCGGGUUUGUUGUCGAUGAAUCGCGUGACUUAAAGGCUGCAGUUAAUGAUUAGGUUCAUUAUGGAUCCUAAAAAUAGUCCGAUCACACAGCUUGUGGUGAUAUAAGCAGAAGGCAUUUUACACAGGGAGGUGUUGGUUUCUGUACUUCUGUGGCUUGAGUUUUAUUAAAUCUGAAAAAUAAACCUAAUGCACUGUAGCUGUGGUGUAAACA
rnacentral:lncRNA from 1 species